GCAGCUCGCUUCAGCACUACAUCUAUUAAAUUGGAAAGAUACAGAGAUUACCCUGGCUCCUGUGGAAGGAUGACAUGAAAAUUCAUGACGCAUUCUGUACUUGA